rnacentral:snRNA from 1 species
GUGCACAUUUUGGCAGCACAUAUACUAAAACUGGAAUGUUACAGAGAUUAGCAUGGCCCCUGUGCAAGGAUGACAGGGAAAUUCGUGAAGCGUUCCAUAUCUUG